CGCACCUUGCACCCUUUGGUAUUCCGAGGGGUACGCCCGUUUGAGUGUCAUUGUAAUCUCACUCCUACCACCUUUGUUGGCUGGUUGGAGGUGGAUCUGGGCCCUGCCGCGUCACUGCGGCUGGUCUGAAAUGCAUGAGUGUACCCUGCCGACGCAGCGUCUUCAGUGUGAUAAACAUCCUCACUGAGUCAAGUUCCCCUCGUAGGACACGUGUGCUCGAUGGGCUCUGCGCUUCGAACCGUCUGUGAAGACAAUCUUGACAACUUGACCUCAAAUCGGGUGGGACUACCCGCUGAACUUAA
rnacentral:misc_RNA from 1 species